GAACUUGAUCAGCAGCUGGUUAACUUAUCUACUCUAACCAGUACUGCUAUGGUGCUCAAUAUAUAUAACCUAAAUUCCAAAACUGAAAUCGCCAAUGCCAGCACUCAGGGUAGGUAUUACAAGAAACAAAGACCAAAUUGAGGUGAACUGACCGAGAAAUUGUCGGAGAUGGUCUGGCGGUUGAGCGAGGCCUCGAUGGUGGUGGCGAACUUGUAGAGGAAGAGCGCGAUGACCCCAGCCGCAAUCCCGCCGAGCAGCGCCUGCACGGGAGACGGCUGCUUAUCGGUUUCCACGGGCGUGGUGCUCACCAUCCGCAGCGCCUCCAGGGCCUCCUCGCU